rnacentral:rRNA from 1 species
AAGCUCGUAGUUGAAUUUCGGGAUCAAAUUGUCGGUCGUGCCUCGGUACGUACUGGCGUUAUUGGUUCCUCCCUUCUGAAGAACCGCGAUGUCAUUAAUUUGGUGUCGCGGGGAAUCAGGACUGUUACUUUGAAAAAAUUAGAGUGUUUAAAGCAGGCUCGCGCUUGAAUACAUUAGCAUGGAAUAAUGAAAUAGGACGUUUGAUUCUAUUUUGUUGGUUUCUAGGAUCGACGUAAUGAUUAAUAGGGAUAGUUGGGGGCAUUAGUAUUCAAUUGUCAGAGGUGAAAUUCUUGGAUUUAUUGAAGACUAACUACUGCGAAAGCAUUUGCCAAGGAUGUUUUCAUUAAUCAAGUACGAAAGUUAGGGGAUCGAAGACGAUCAGAUACCGUCGUAGUCUUAACCAUAAACUAUGCCGACUAGGGAUCGGAUGAUGUUAAUUUUUUAAUGACUCAUUCGGCGCCUUACGGGAAACCAAAGUGUUUGGGUUCCGGGGGGAGUAUGGUCGCANGG